UCGGGAAUUUUGGGCAAUGGGCGAAAGCCUGACCCAGCAACGCCGCGUGAGGGAUGAAGUAUUUCGGUAUGUAAACCUCGAAAGAAUGGGAAGAAUAAAUGACGGUACCAUUUAUAAGCUCCGGCUAACUACGUGCCAGCAGCCGCGGUAAUACGUAGGGAGCAAGCGUUGUUCGGAUUUACUGGGCGUAAAGGGCGCGUAGGCGGCGCGGUAAGUCACUUGUGAAAUCUCUGAGCUUAACUCAGAACGGCCAAGUGAUACUGCUGUGCUAGAGUGCGGAAGAGGCAACCGGAAUUCUGGGUGUAGCGGUGAAAUGCGUAGAUAUCAAGAGGAACACCUGAGGCGAAGGCGGGUUGCUGGGCCGACACUGACGCUGAUGCGCGAAAGCCAGGGGAGCAA
rnacentral:rRNA from 1 species